UAGGAGGAAGAAGUCCUGUGACUGCAAAACGCAGGAUCUCAACAGCUACAACCUCCAGCCUCAUUGCUCUUUCGUUUUCUUCUAUCUCAGGAACAUCAUUUUCUGUUUUUCCUGUAAAGCAAGGAUGCCCUCAGAGGACGUUAGAGUCCCAUUUGUCUCCACUGCAAAUGGCCCCAGGAUGCUGUUCUUUCUUGAUGCUCCUGUGGCAUCGUUCACUACCAACUCUGGCAAUUCUUAAGCAAAUACUUAACUUCUCUCAGAUCAAGUUUUUCAUCUGUAAAAUAUGGAUAAUUAUAUCUAUUUAUGGGGCAACUUGUGAAGAUAAAAGAAAAUUAUAUAAAAGAAGGCACUCAAAAAAUGGUAAAGUACUACUACUAAAAGCACUGUGAUGAUUUCCACAAAGAGAACACAAAUGAUAAAUAAUUAGACUGACAUCAAGAAUUUAUUUUUGAACAGAAUCUUCCAAGAUAUACCAUAUGGCCAAUACUAGUUUAUCCAAUCUAAAAUACAUCCUACUCCUGUAGGCCUAUAAAAUGGUCACUGAUGCCCUUUAUGGUGAUUCAGGGAAGCUGAAAAAUUCUGGAACAUCUUGUAUCUCAGCCAAGGAAGAGCCCACUGAGAGGUUUCAAAUUUUUGGAGCUG